rnacentral:rRNA from 1 species
GACGGGGGCCCGCACAAGCGGUGGAGCAUGUGGUUUAAUUCGAUGAUACGCGAGGAACCUUACCAGGGCUUAAAUGUAGUCUGACAGGUCUGGAAACAGACUUUUCUUCGGACAGAUUACAAGGUGCUGCAUGGUUGUCGUCAGCUCGUGCCGUGAGGUGUCAGGUUAAGUCCUAUAACGAGCGCAACCCCUGUGGUUAGUUGCCAGCGAGUAAUGUCGGGAACUCUAGCCAGACUGCCGGUGCAAACCGCGAGGAAGGUGGGGAUGACGUCAAAUCAUCACGGCCCUUACGUCCUGGCCACACACGUGCUACAAUGGUAGGGACAGAGAGCAGCCACUUCGCGAGAAGGAACGAAUCUACAAACCCUAUCACAGUUCGGAUCGCAGUCUGCAACUCGACUGCGUGAAGCUGGAAUCGCUAGUAAUCGCAUAUCAGCCAUGAUGCGGUGAAUACGUUCCCGGGCCUUGUACACACCGCCCGUCAAGCCAUGGAAGCCGGGGGUACCUGAAGUCGGUCACCGCAAGGAGCCGCCUAGGGUAAAACUGGUAACUGGGGCUAAGUCGUAACAAGGUAACCGUA